GACGAACGCUGGCGGCGUGCUUAACACAUGCAAGUCGAACGGUGAAGCGAGUGCUUGCACUCGUGGAUCAGUGGCGAACGGGUGAGUAACGCGUGAGUAACCUGCCCAUCACUCUGGGAUAAGCACUGGAAACGGUGUCUAAUACUGGAUACGACCAACCCUUGCAUGGGGUGUUGGUGGAAAGAUUUAUCGGUGAUGGAUGGACUCGCGGCCUAUCAGCUUGUUGGCGGGGUAAUGGCCCACCAAGGCGACGACGGGUAGCCGGCCUGAGAGGGUGACCGGCCACACUGGGACUGAGACACGGCCCAGACUCCUACGGGAGGCAGCAGUGGGGAAUAUUGCACAAUGGGCGAAAGCCUAAUGCAGCGACGCCGCGUGAGGGAUGACGGCCUUCGGGUUGUAAACCUCUUUCAGCAGGGAAGAAGCGAAAGUGACGGUACCUGCAGAAGAAGCACCGGCUAACUACGUG
rnacentral:rRNA from 1 species